rnacentral:lncRNA from 1 species
ACCCUCGGCCCCCCACGGCGGUUGGUCCGGGCGGGGGAAGGAGAAAGUGAGACUCGGUGUCAUCACCAAUCCAUCGCCAGAAGGGGAGGAAACUGGAAUCCAGCAGCGGCGAGCAGCAGCUGGACGGUAACAUCUGGAAAUGGAAAGCCGACCUCCCCCUCCUCCUCCACCUCCUCCUCCUCCUCCUCCUCCUCCUCCUCCUCCUCUCACCCAGGAUCACUUCCAAAACCACUUGGCCUUCAGCCCCUGCCUCGGCCAGAGGUUUCAUUUUUAACUGAAUAUUUACGAAAGCUGAAAGCGUGCGAGGGGGGUGGGGUGGAAAUAGCGGCUGCUUCUUUUCCAAGGAUUUAUUUAAUGGGGAUGUGUUCAAGGCAAGACCGAAUUCAGAAGGAUAUCGACGUCGUGAUCCAGAAGUCCAGAGCUGAGGACUGCCUGUUUGCAGGACAACUGUGCAGACUACAAAGCUUCGGAAAACCGGAGAGGCUGAGUCGACUAAUCGUGUUGUUGCACGUUAGAAACGCUUGCAUUGCCUGACUCUGAAACCAGAAGGGCGGCCGAAUGGCCUUCACCCUCCAUUAACCCUCGCCUCCUUCAGAAGCCAGUGCCUCUGGAAAUGCCUGGAUCUGCGACCCCAGCCUGAGCCUAGUAGGGCCCAAGGGAAGCUGAACGCCCCGACGGCUCUCAUGGUAGAAAUCACAGAGAUCAGCAACUCUAGAGUGCGAUGAAGAAGCUUCACUCUGGGAGAACCCCCUUCGUGACCACGGUCUCUUUCCUGCCAGGGCACUGGCAACAGUUUUCCGUUUGUGCCUACUCCACCUGCUGUCUUUGUUGGGUCAGCGAACAUCGCCUCCCUCUACCGCUCAAUCAGCAAAAGGGACCGCCCUUGAGGACCUCACCCGCCGCUCACUCCCCUCCCAACUUCGCGGGCAUCGCCUCCGGUCGCCUCUUCCGAAGGCCUAACGAGCAUGUUAGCUGCGAACGGAGGUGAGGAGGCUCCGCUGACUGACCGGUGCCCACGUCCAGGGCACGCACAAACGCCAUGACUUGGCUUGGCCUCUCUCUUAGUUAUUCACAGCUCAGCCCGAUAGGCACCUCUGGGGCGGCGACGGCAAAGAGGGUGCGCUUAUUAAGUGCAGCUCCACGGGGACUGGCCUCUCUGCACGGCUGUGUACACCUGAGCGAGACGCUCAGUCGCUCUCUAAAGCCGCUUCU